AGCAUUCAAAUGUCGCACUGGCACUUUCGAGGUGAAACGGUGCAGAUCAAUAAUGAACAUAGUUUGCCUCCAGUAUCCUGCUCCCACGUCUUAAUGAGAGAUUAGGUAAGGGCUUCCCUCUGCCACUACCACCCCAAGUACAGCUCUCCGAUCUCCUCGUGCAGUUUCAUGAGAAUUUCCUGCUGUUUGGAGCAAACGUUCGCUACCAGCCCAGGCAAGGCAGAUAGAUGACCAAAGCGACCUUCAGCACCGACAACGCCCCCCUCUCGCCUGCCCCGUGCUGCCCCUCCGAGGGCACCCGGUUCCCGUCCCGCACCCCUGGCUCCCAACCCCGGCUCCCCCCCGCCGUCCCCGCCGCCGAGACGGCAAACAAACGGUUCUGCCAGAACGUGACUCAUCGGCCGCCCCAGCCCGAGCAGCCAGAGGACAAACCGCAGACGCGCAGGCGAGGGCCAGAACCGCCCGAGGGGCCGAGCCCCGCGGCCCGGGCUGGGCGGAGGGGACCGCGGGAGCCCGGGGGUCCCUGCCCACCCCAAAUCGCCGCUGCUGCGGGUCCUGGGCCCUCUCCUGCCCUGGCCCCGAGGAGCCACCGACCACCACGCUGCUGGGGCCGACAGAGCCGAGGCUCGGGACGAGGCCUGGCGGCGGCGGCUUCCCCUCCUGCACGUGCUUCACCUUCACCGAGCGCUUCCCCGCGGUGCUGUACAAAGCCUUGCUCAGUCGGGGGGCUUCCAGCGCCCUCGCGGGGGCUGCGCCCCGCUCUGAGCCUUUGAUAUAAAAUACAACAUGGAAAUC